UGCCUAGUAGUAUGGGAUAGCCACUAGAAAUGGUGGGUAAUACUGUAUAAUCCCUGCGGGGGAAAGAUUUAUCGCUACUGGAUGAGCCUAUGUUAGAUUAGCUAGUUGGUGGGGUAAUGGCCUACCAAGGCUGUGAUCUAUAGCUGGUCUGAGAGGAUGAUCAGCCACACUGGAACUGAGACACGGUCCAGACUCCUACGGGAGGCAGCAGUGGGGAAUAUUGGACAAUGGGCGCAAGCCUGAUCCAGCUAUGCCGCGUGAGUGAGGAAGGCCUUAGGGUUGUAAAACUCUUUCAGCAGGGAAGAUAAUGACGGUACCUGCA
rnacentral:rRNA from 1 species